rnacentral:rRNA from 1 species
UACGUAGGGGGCAAGCGUUGUCCGGAUUUAUUGGGCGUAAAGAGCGUGUAGGCGGCCUGGGAGGUCCGUUGUGAAAACUCGAGGCUCAACCUCGAGACGUCGAUGGAAACCCUCAGGCUAGAGUCCGGAAGAGGAGAGUGGAAUUCCUGGUGUAGCGGUGAAAUGCGCAGAUAUCAGGAAGAACACCUAUGGCGAAGGCAGCUCUCUGGGACGGUACUGACGCUGAGACGCGAAAGCGUGGGGAGCGAACAGG